AACGAACGCUGGCGGCAGGCUUAACACAUGCAAGUCGAGCGCCCCGCAAGGGGAGCGGCAGACGGGUGAGUAACGCGUGGGAACGUACCUUUUGCUACGGAAUAACUCAGGGAAACUUGUGCUAAUACCGUAUGUGCCCUUCGGGGGAAAGAUUUAUCGGCAAAGGAUCGGCCCGCGUUGGAUUAGCUAGUUGGUGAGGUAAAGGCUCACCAAGGCGACGAUCCAUAGCUGGUCUGAGAGGAUGAUCAGCCACACUGGGACUGAGACACGGCCCAGACUCCUACGGGAGGCAGCAGUGAGGAAUUUUGGACAAUGGGGGCAACCCUGAUCCAGCCAUGCCGCGUGGGUGAAGAAGGCCUUCGGGUUGUAAAGCCCUUUCGGCGGGGACGAAAU
rnacentral:rRNA from 1 species